GCUUCUGUAGCUCAGUUGGGAGAGCAUACGACUGUUAAUCGUGAGGUCGGGCGAUCGAAACGCCCCGGAAGCG
rnacentral:tRNA from 1 species